GUGGGGAAUUUUGGACAAUGGGCGAAAGCCUGAUCCAGCCAUGCCGCGUGUAGGAUGAAGGCCUUCGGGUUGUAAACUGCUUUUGUACGGAACGAAAAGACUCUGGUUAAUACCUGGGGUCCAUGACGGUACCGUAAGAAUAAGCACCGGCUAACUACGUGCCAGCAGCCGCGGUAAUACGUAGGGUGCAAGCGUUAAUCGGAAUUACUGGGCGUAAAGCGUGCGCAGGCGGUUAUAUAAGACAGAUGUGAAAUCCCCGGGCUCAACCUGGGAACUGCAUUUGUGACUGUAUAGCUAGAGUACGGCAGAGGGGGAUGGAAUUCCGCGUGUAGCAGUGAAAUGCGUAGAUAUGCGGAGGAACACCGAUGGCGAAGGCAAUCCCCUGGGCCUGUACUGACGCUCAUGCACGAAAGCGUGGGGAGCAAACAGGAUUAGAAACCCUGGUAGUCC
rnacentral:rRNA from 1 species